rnacentral:rRNA from 1 species
GAUCCUGGCUCAGGAUGAACGCUGGCGGCGUGCUUAACACAUGCAAGUCGAACGGGAAACCUUUUAUUGAAGCUUCGGCAGAUUUAGCUGGUUUUUAGUGGCGGACGGGUGAGCAACGCGUGGGUAACCUGCCUUAUACAGGGGGAUAACAGUCAGAAAUGACUGCUAAUACCGCAUAAGCGCACAGGACCGCAUGGUCCGGUGUGAAAAACUCCGGUGGUAUAAGAUGGACCCGCGUUGGAUUAG